AGCGUCCACCAGAACAACAUUGGGGAACAUGGAAGAAGAUGCCAAGAGUUGAGGACAUGCCGAGCAUCACUCUUCACAGCGUCAUGGCCUCUCCAAACGCAGAGUAUGUCCGCUGGAAGGUGCACGGAGACUUCGUCUCUCAGCUGAAUUACUAUGAGUCUAUGAAAGCUGUCAUUUCCAGCUCCAAUCACGAGCCCACAGCUUUAGUGAUAGGCUCUCUCCUAAACCGCUUGGAACAUGGAGGUGAGUGUCCUGGAGAAGCAUCGGGAAUCAGGAGAUGCUGCUGAGUGUAUCGAGGAUCCUCAGGUCAGACCCAGCCUGGAAACCCACAGGAAGACAUUAGUGCAACCAUCGGAUCUGAUUGUUGACAGGAUUCAUAAAUCAACCAAUCGUUCAUCUGAACAUAUCUCUCCAAAUAAAUGGAGGAAAAAAAAAA
rnacentral:lncRNA from 1 species